UUACAUCUAUCAGAGCAUGACCCACUAGGGAGACUACACUAGACUCCAAGCAUUUGCUUCUACUCAACUCAUUUCUCGUUACCUGAAAAAUAGUUGUAAGGGUGAGUUCCUCAAUCAAUAUAAUAAGCAUUUAUAAAACAACAUGUAAUGCCAAGUAAUUAACACAUCAAUCACCCUAAUUGCAAUACACAUUCAGUAAUAGCUCAUUGGCUUAAACAUCAUUCUCAACAUCAAUAUACAAUACCAGUAUAAUCUCAAAU
rnacentral:lncRNA from 1 species